rnacentral:rRNA from 1 species
GGGGACAACCCGCCGAAAGGCGGGCUAAACCCGCGUACAUGCCACCGGGGCAUCCCGGAGGCAGGAAAGGCUUCGGCCGGACAGGGAUGGGCAUGCGGCGCAUUAGGCAGUAGGCGGGGUAACGGCCCACCUAACCGACGAUGCGUAGGGGUUCUGAGAGGAAGGUCCCCCACACUGGUACUGAGACACGGACCAGACUCCUACGGGAGGCAGCAGUGAGGAAUAUUGGUCAAUGGUCGGGAGACUGAACCAGCCAAGCCGCGUGAGGGAGGAAGGUACAGAGUAUCGUAAACCUCUUUUGUCAGGGAACAAAGACUGGGACGCGUCCCCGGAUGAGUGUACCUGAAGAAAAAGCAUCGGCUAACUCCGUGCCAGCAGCCGCGGUAAUACGGAGGAUGCGAGCGUUAUCCGGAUUUAUUGGGUUUAAAGGGUGCGCAGGCGGUCUGUUAAGUCAGCGGUCAAAGCCCGGGGCUCAACCCCGGCCCGCCGUUGAAACUGGCAGUCUCGAGUUGGAGAGAAGUAUGCGGAAUGCGCGGUGUAGCGGUGAAAUGCAUAGAUAUCGCGCAGAACUCCGAUUGCGAAGGCAGCAUGCCGGCUCCACACUGACGCUGAGGCACGAAAGCGUGGGUAUCGAACAGGAUUAGAUACCCUGGUAGUCCACGCAGUAAACGAUGCA